AGCAAUGAUGAUGAUUUCAUAUAAUCUCGUUAAUCCGAUCUCAAUGUGAGGAUAAACGCUUAUCCAUUCUUUUAUAUCUGAGC